UGGGGAAUAUUGCACAAUGGGCGAAAGCCUGAUGCAGCGACGCCGCGUGAGGGAUGACGGCCUUCGGGUUGUAAACCUCUUUCAGCAGGGAAGAAGCGAAAGUGACGGUACCUGCAGAAGAAGCACCGGCUAACUACGUGCCAGCAGCCGCGGUAAUACGUAGGGUGCGAGCGUUGUCCGGAAUUAUUGGGCGUAAAGAGCUUGUAGGCGGUUUGUCGCGUCUGCUGUGAAAAUCCGGGGCUCAACCCCGGACUUGCAGUGGGUACGGGCAGACUAGAGUGUGGUAGGGGAGACUGGAAUUCCUGGUGUAGCGGUGAAAUGCGCAGAUAUCAGGAGGAACACCGAUGGCGAAGGCAGGUCUCUGGGCCACUACUGACGCUGAGAAGCGAAAGCAUGGGGAGCGAACAGGAUUAGAUACCCUGGUA
rnacentral:rRNA from 1 species